AUGGAAGCCAUGGAGAAGAAAAACUGCACUGCCAACUGCUUCAACACCAUUCCAAAGACAAUUUUUAGUACUGGAGGAGAGAAGAGUGCUUUUCAUUAGGCAGACUUUCCUGAAUUGAUGCUGAGAGGGAUGCAGCAAUUUUGGUGGUCAGUUCUGGUGGCAAUUCCGAAUGAUGUGCUGUCGCGAUGGUACAUUCAACUCAACCUGGCCCCUCUAUGUUGCUGAGAAGCACUCCAAAAGCACACACUCUCAUUAUUUCACUCCACACAACUGUGAAGGAGGAAGCAUUUCGAUUUCUCUGCCCAUGUUAUGUCAGCCUCCUACCAUCUGCCGUCCUGACCACAACAUCGUAGCUUCCCUCCUGCCAUGUCUCCA
rnacentral:lncRNA from 10 species